AACGAACGCUGGCGGCAUGCCUAACACAUGCAAGUCGAACGAGAUCUUCGGGUCUAGUGGCGCACGGGUGCGUAACGCGUAGGAAUCUGCCCUUUGGUUCGGAAUAACAGAUGGAAACGACUGCUAAUACCGGAUGAUGACGAAAGUCCAAAGAUUUAUCGCCAGAGGAUGAGCCCGCGUAGGAUUAGCUAGUUGGUGUGGUAAAGGCGCACCAAGGCGACGAUCCUUAGCUGGUCUGAGAGGAUGAUCAGCCACACUGGGACUGAGACACGGCCAGACUCCUACGGGAGGCAGCAGUGGGGAAUAUUGGACAAUGGGCGAAAGCCUGAUCCAGCAAUGCCGCGUGAGUGAUGAAGGCCUUAGGGUUGUAAAGCUCUUUUACCCGGGAUGAUAAUGACAGUACCGGGAGAAUAAGCUCCGGCUAACUCCGUGCCAGCAGCCGCAGUAA
rnacentral:rRNA from 1 species